GAACGUCGUGAGACAGUUCGGUCCCUAUCUGCCGUGGGCGCUGGAGAAUUGAGGGGGGCUGCUCCUAGUACGAGAGGACCGGAGUGGACGCAUCACUGGUGUUCGGGUUGUCAUGCCAAUGGCACUGCCCGGUAGCUAAAUGCGGAAGAGAUAAGUGCUGAAAGCAUCUAAGCACGAAACUUGCCCCGAGAUGAGUUCUCCCUGAGACUUUAAGUCUCCUGAAGGAACGUUAAAGACGAUGACGUUGAUAGGCCGGGUGUGUAAGCGCAGCGAUGCGUUGAGCUAACCGGUACUAAUGAACCGUGAGGCUUAACCUUACAACGCCGAAG
rnacentral:rRNA from 1 species